GGGAUUGCCCCAGUAACGGCGAGUGAAGCGGCAACAGCUCAGAUUUGAAAUCUGGCCCCUUUGGGGUCCGAGUUGUAAUCUGUAGAGGAUGCUUUUGGCGACGCGCCUUCCGAGUCCCCUGGAACGGGGCGCCAGAGAGGGUGAGAGCCCCGUAUGGUCGGACGCCGAACCUCUGUAAAGCUCCUUCGACGAGUCGAGUAGUUUGGGAAUGCUGCUCAAAAUGGGAGGUAAAUUUCUUCUAAAGCUAAAUACCGGCCAGAGACCGAUAGCGCACAAGUAGAGUGAUCGAAAGAUGAAAAGCACUUUGAAAAGAGGGUCAAAUAGCACGUGAAAUUGCUGAAAGGGAAGCGCUUGUGACCAGACUUGCGCCCGGUUGAUCAUCCAGCGUUCUCGCUGGUGCACUCUGCCGGGCUCAGGCCAGCAUCGGCUCUCCCAGGGGGAUAAAGGUCGCGGGAACGUAGCUCUCUCCGGGGAGUGUUAUAGCCCGUGGCGGAAUGCCCUUAGGGGGGGCCGAGGCCCGCGUUCGCAAGGAUGCUGGCGUAAUGGUCACCAGCGACCCGUCUUGAAACACGGACCAAGGAGUCAAGCAUUAGGGCGAGUCUUUGGGUGCAAAACCCGCAGGCGCAAUGAAAGUGAACGGAGGUGAGAGCUUCGGCGCAUCAUCGACCGAUCCUGAUGUUCUCGGAUGGAUUUGAGUAAGAGCCUUACCGCUUGGACCCGAAAGAUGGUGAACUAUGCCUGAAUAGGGUGAAGCCAGAGGAAACUCUGGUGGAGGCUCGCAGCGGUUCUGACGUGCAAAUCGAUCGUCAAAUUUGGGCAUGGGGGCGAAAGACUAAUCGAACCUCUAGAGUGUACGGCCCCUC
rnacentral:rRNA from 1 species